CAGUUAAAAUUAACCGAUGACGGGUACUAAAAUAGGUUAAUUACUACAGUAGCGUAGCUACAAUUUCAUAAUGGAAAACAUAGUAAAAAAGUCUACAAAAUUUCAGAUUUUCGAUUUUUUUUUCUUCCAAAGCUCCCCACUCUAUCAACAAUUAUGUCAGUUAUAACUAAAUGAUAACUUAUGAUCAUUAGAAAUGUACACAAAUAACUGAAAAUCGACUUGCAAAAAAUAUGUAUUUCAGUAAUAUGCAACCUAUUUCUAUUUAAACUUAUGAGUACCAACUACCUCUAAACUAUGAAUUUUUAUGCAACAAUAAAUUAGAAUAUGGCGAUGAACAUAAAAAAUCAUUGAAGACUCUUGCAGAAAUAAAAAAAAAAUACUAAGUGAUACAGAAUUUCAAGCCUUUUACAAAACCAUAAUGUUUUGUUGAGCUAUAAAAUAUUUGUUUUUAAUUAAAUAUUAUAAUCUGCCUACAAACAUAGUGGUCAAUUUAAAUAAUGCUGUGCUUUAUUCACACAUUUUUAUUUUUAAAACUUAAAUCAACUUGGAGAUUGGACGAGAUCACAGAAAAUUGAAAUGAACGGAAUUAUUGUAUAAACAUUUAUUAGGCCACUAAAUGAGGUUAUAUGUUUCUGCUCAUUCAAACGUCUCUCGAGUUAACGUGUGGUGUCAUCAUCGGACUGAACUGGUCACGUAUGGGCUCUUGUUAAACACACUCCCAUACACCAACAUUGCGGUAAAGGUGAAAACGUUCCAUUGAAACGUCGAGACGUUGGUCAACGUAGCGGCUAAUUGCGUUAACUCGAUUCAUCAAUCACCUGUGUCCGUCGUGUGCACGCCGUUAAUGACCACCACCACCAACUUCUCUCCACAGCCGUGACCCAUCGGUGCAACGAGCUUUCUAGCGGUCAACGAUUACAACAAUGGCUAUAUACCAUUAGUGCGUGUGCCCUUCUUGUCUACCGUAUCAUAUGGUCGAUAACGUAAUAAUUAUUAAGGCCGUGGGAACUUAGUACGGCUGACAAACGCUCUAUAAAUAAAUACCGAUCUCAACCGACGUACGGUCGUAUUAAUGUCGAUGACAGUAUCACUUCAUUGUGGUUGGGUUACGCAAAUCUAAUAAAUAACGCGGAUGCUAUUUUUCCUAAAAAAGCAGACUACAUGAACUCUAUUAUAACUCAGACUGUGCUAAAGAGUAAUGUACACGUUCACAAGAGUAUCCUACCGGUGCGAAGAAGUUGUUCUUUCUAUCCGAAAUCCUACGCGACAACCAAGCGCACAAUGUGUACACCAAUUAUAUCUAUUCAAAGCUUUUGAUUGCACCGAGUUUCGUGAUCUCGUCAGACAAAAUACGAUUAUUACAAUACGAACGCUUUCUACAGUCCGAGGCUCUCUCCGGACGAUCAUCGUUCGUAGUCAUAACACAGACUCGCAUGCGCAUAACAACAUUUGUGAUAUUACUAAACCAGAUAUUACCAUUAUAGAAUCGUAACUAUUAUUAUGACUGGAGUAUAAUGUGUAGAAAAUAUUUUGAUCUAUUGUGCUUUUUGAAUCGCUACGCGCCGUGAGGUUGUGUGUAACAUUUUGUGUACAACGCUCAAUUUCUCCGUACACUUUUGCACCGCAUUUACAAUGCGGUCGCGAUUAUUGCAAGAGGAGUAUUAUGGACAAGAAAGAAAAAAAAAUCGCACGGCCAACUCAUACACCUGCAACAUCUCUGUACGACGACCGAAGCAGCUCCCACGCGAUCAUGUGCAACACGGAAGACCCCGAUAAUCUCUGAAACAGUCACGAAUUCAGCCCGUGUCGUAACAUUGGUCACCUUUGUUCUGUUCUUUUCUAUGUGUGCGUAUACGCGAUUGAUGACACGGUAGUUUUACUUAUAUAGUGUUCUUCUAGACCAAUCUGGUACGGCUCUUCUUCACGUAUGGACCGAACAACGGUGAAAAAUAACCACACACUGCGUGAGCUACGAGAUGUUUUCUUAUUAUUUCUAGCAAGCAGCAGUGACCACAGCAGUGUUCCUUUGCCCGAUACAUUCUUCUUCAACACGACGAACUGGAAGCGAUGCGCUGAUGCCAACUGUUGUCGUGUGCUUACACAUUCCGCUCGUCUUCGGCCAAAUGUGACAUAAAUUGUAUCAUGACUACACCGAAAACUCAGCCAACCUUCAAAUAAUAUUAUAAUUUGCACGGUUUAACGCUCAGUAUGGUCGACUAUGAGGUUAAGAACCGCAGCAAGUUCUUAACUCAAAGCCAAGUGUUCAUUGACUGCCGAGCAAUUGUUUAUCUGAUUUCGCAUUAGGAUUUCCUAAAUGCGUGCUGGGUAAAAGAACUUUGCAUGAACGCUUUUGCUACGAAGUACUUUGUAAACUAUCUAAAACCCACACGUGAUUGAACAAUUUUUAUACCCUAGUAUGCUUACACUCGAGUUCAUUGAGAUACCCAUCAAUAAUAACCAUCUAAUACGGAGUAUGUCGGUGUAGUAAUAAUUACUAUUACGGUAUUCUUUAUGUUUACUCCAUCGAGACAAUUUCCCAUGCGGCAAAGCACGAACUCUCGGCAACCAUGUCACUGCGGUAAAUUGUUUGAUUCAAAACAAAUGGAUCUCUAAGUAUCUAUACAAUAGUUGCCUAAAGGUAUCAAAUAAAUAAUAACAACAUUACGCUGGUAAGUUAUUAUAGAAUAGUAAUGCGGAGUGAGUGCGUAUGAAAGCUUCCAAUUGUAUGUCGAUAGGUUAACUUCUGUGGGCGGCAAGAGAUAGCCGAUUUCCAUCUGUACCAGUGCUAUCGAUUUUGCGCUAUGCAUGUAAUAACAAUAAUAAAUGGGUCGAGGAUUGGCUAACGCCACUCGUUGAUUUAUUUGUCUAUUGUUUAUCAAAGUGGACAAGUAGCGUUGUUAUUAAUUACUGUAUUGGAUUUAUUAUCGGGUCUCUAAGGACGUUUUCACGAGUUCUUGUCACACGUAUAUUGGUCUGACCUGUUAAAACAAGACAGGAAACCCAACCGCUAAACGUUUGGUUUGUCACAACAAGCGCAGCUAGUAACAUUACCAACAACCGGUCGUUUAUUUCUUGCGCGUGUCGUCGACGUUCGGAUCCAUCAGACAAGGACAAUCGACGGGUAACUACCACCUCUAUAAUAGCAACAAUAAUAUAAUACCUGUGCUUUUGACUUGUAAAUUGUCAACACGUGUUACACUCGUUCCGCCAAGUCACACCAUAAAACUGGAAAACGCGUUUAAAACAAAAACAUUCAAAUAAUGUUCUGUUCAAAAAUCGCAUUCAUUAUCUCGUAUCGGUGUGUGUGUGUAUGUCUAACAUCUUGAGCAUAAAAGUCAACGUAUGCGGUUUGUGUUCCGUUCAAUUGUUGUCGCCGGACGGAAAAAACGGGCGAGGAUCGCACGAGCCACCUGAGCAGUACUUCGGUAGUAUAGAGGCGCGAACAAGAACAAAAAAACCAACACGCGACAAAAUACUAAUUGUUAUUUGCCGUAGGGUAUUUAUUACAUGUAUUGUUUUUUUUUUUUUUUUAGAAGCAGAAGGGUUUCCGGAGGGAAACGAACCAAACCUACCCGUUGAAAUUUUACAAUAUAUUAACAAACUCAUAAAUCUAAUAAAAACAACAACAGUAGAUAUUAUGUAGAUAAUAUAAACGUAUGCGUAAUUGAGUUUCGGUCCACUGAUAGUGUCGGUGCUCUGUGUUUUGUAAUAUAAUUCUCAUAAUGAGCUGUCCAUUUAACGGGUACACAACACGUUUAAGUUAUGGUGUACUGAAAUGCCUAACAGUUAUCUGCAAUGCGUUAUCAACCAUAAAAAAAGUAUUUUUUUAAAGUGGUGUUGGAAUACUGUUUGUAAAAAAGUUAUCAGGUUUUCAAUGUUAGCUUCAUGUAUAUGACGUUAUCUUUCUUUAAGAUUAUCAAUUUCAUGGAUCAAAUAAAAAUUAAUGACAAAAUUUUUAUUAGGUCGAUUCCGAAUGUAAAUUUAAAGUAUCACUUUUUUGAUUGUUUAAAAUAAUGACACUGUAAAUGCAGUAUUUAAGAUAAAAAUUACCAUUAUUGCAAAUAAUUCAAUUGAAUUAUUCAAUUACAUUGUGAAAAACAGGUAAGAUAAAUCUAUCAGUUUAAUAAAUAGAGCAUGAAACUGAUACUUAUCUAAAUUAAAUUGCACUAAAUGUAUUUUUACGCUGUUAUAUUUUACUGAAGAACAAAACUUUUUACAAUGCAUAAUCUAUUACAAAGCCUGUCAUUCAAAAAUUCACUGUUAAUAUUCAUUGUAACAUUUUAAAGAAAAAAACACUUUGAAAACUAAGAUUUGAAGUUUGUUAAAUAUCAUGUGAUCAUUAACCUACUGUUCUAUUUAUAUUGAAACAUUCAAAUUGGCAAUGGACGACGAGACAAACACUUCAAUUAAAAAAAUUGUUCAAUAUGUGCAGUACAGUGACUUAACGUAAUACUUGAGUGAAUAUGAGAUGAAUAUU